rnacentral:lncRNA from 1 species
GACAAUCAAUUUCUUCAUCAGUGAUUAAAAUUACAAUAUUUACCCAUACUCAACUUGAUUUUGUUUUUUGUAGUGAUUUCUCUGUCUAGAGGUAGAGUUUAUUAACACCUGCCAUUAGGAAUGGACUAAUGCCAAGUAUCUAUCAAUAUGAAGGUGGUUGUUUCCCUAUUCUACUUCCCCUAGUUUCUGUAGUUAUUGGUUCCAUACUCUGAAAUUACAAAAGCUUCCUAUUCUUCCUUCAAAAAAA